rnacentral:rRNA from 1 species
UACGAAGGGGGCUAGCGUUGUUCGGAUUUACUGGGCGUAAAGCGCACGUAGGCGGAUCGUUAAGUGAGGGGUGAAAUCCCAGGGCUCAACCCUGGAACUGCCUUUCAUACUGGCGAUUUCAUGAUGCCGGAAGAGGUGAGUGGAACUCCUAGUGUAGAGGUGGAAUUCGUAGAUAUUAGGAAGAACACCAGUGGCGAAGGCGGCUCACUGGUCCGGUACUGACGCUGAGGUGCGAAAGCGUGGGGAGCAAACAGG